UACAUCAGUACAACUGAGCAGCAUCUUAGUAUAAUUCCAAGUUUUUUCCAAGCUGAUUGAAUUACCCUCUUUGCAAUGUAAUGUUGCUAGGGUCCAGACAGAAGAGGAAAAGGGUGUGCUAUGUAAGCAAACAUCUAUGGCUGCUACAUGGUGAUUAAUGAGUCAGCAGGUUUAGGAUUUUUGAGACAUGCUAGUAAAGAAGCAACUGCUCUGAAACAUCUCCUAAUUAUUCUCUACAUUUCUAUGUCAUUUCUUGAGUUUGGGACUUUCACUCAGAGACCUAUUCCAGCCCGACAGCUGAGACAGAGCAGCUUGACUUUAAAAGGAACUCACCUAUUUGAGACACCACCUGCUACUACCCACGGUGCGCAUUAAUAGAAAUACACAUGGCUCUUCUUCCUCCUUGCCAUGACUUUGGACAAUUCCCAUCCUGCUUUGUCACACUGUCUCAGGCCUAAGGUGAAAUCCAAUGAGACCCUUGAAUGGUGUAAACCUCUGACUCGUACCUGUUGCCCUUGACCAAGAAGAACCUGAUAGACGUGUUUCAGUGAACCCAUCUCUGUGGCCAUGAGUUCUGAUGUGUCAUGAGACCUAGAACAAUAAUUAUUGAAUAUUUGGGUAACCACACAGAAGAUUGAUCUUAUUGAUUCCUGAGCAUGCAUCAUGGGAUGACAAACCACACACCAGAUCCAAGCCCUACAUCCC